AUCACUCCACUGUAUGGUAACUACAACGGUAGCCGUGUGUUUGGAUUUGUCCAAUAUGGUCGCUAAAAUCAAGAAACAAUGGAACUCCAUUCUAGAAAUCAGUGGGAGAGAAAUGGCCACGAAAAGCAGCGGUCAACACCAAUCUUCGUUGGAAAUUCAAACGCACAUGCCUAGUUCUACAUAAGAUCGGCUGCAAGCGCAAGAAUACAUAAUAUUGUUAAUUAAGCAAGAUAGUUUGUUGAAUAGUUAGGCCCCAUUAAAAGCUUUAAUUGUU
rnacentral:lncRNA from 1 species